UACGUAGGGGGCAAGCGUUGUCCGGAUUUACUGGGCGUAAAGAGCGUGUAGGCGGCCAUACAGGUCCGUUGUGAAAACUGGAGGCUCAACUUCCAGACGUCGACGGAAACCGUGUGGCUAGAGUCCGGAAGAGGAGAGUGGAAUUCCGUGGUGUAAGCGGUGAAAUGCGCAGAUAUCAGGAAGAACACCAAUGGCGAAGGCAGCUCUCUGGGACGGUACUGACGCUGAGACGCGAAAGCGUGGGGAGCGAACAGG
rnacentral:rRNA from 1 species